GAAGAGGGAGAAGAGGGAGUCCAAAUUCUCUGUGCCUUUUUUUUCACCCUUCCAUUUAAACCUGAAAUAAGACGGAGAGAAGUUUUCACUACCAGAUUAAAAAGGUGAAAGACGCCUGUAAGGAGGACGGUUUCUUUUAACAUUGUGAAAUCUGCCCUUUCUGUUCAGUUCUCUUCGUCCAACGAGCCCAGUUAUCUAUCUGGUAUUUAUAUUUAGUGAAAUUAUUUAUUUCACUGACCUGGUAAGUUUGUUUUUGUCAACGUCUGUUAAAAAUUAACUUUGAACCUCAAUUCUUAAGCUACUCAGAAGGAAUAAGACAUUUCAACUGCAGAUGAAAACCAUGUGAUACGAUGCAAACAAGUAAUAAAUGAAGUAUCUUUACAGAUUAAAGAACCCGGCAGAAUGUAAAGCAGUUAAAACCGGCUCCACCUUUAAAGAGGUGAACACAAUAAUGCAACAAUUAACAAUACAGUCCAGGAAUGUAUGUAUUGUCAAAAGAGCCUUUCUGUAUAUUAAAGACUACACAGCUGGAAGCACCAUCUUCUAAAUGUUAAGCCCGAGGAGGUCUUUGUCUGCGAGACGAGUGUAUGUGGCCCCCGGGUUCCUUUACACAUCUGGAUUAAUGAGAACUGUCCACAGCGUGAGGCUUUCUGGGUUUCUGCGGUCUGAUAAAAGGUAUUAACCGCUGCAUGAAGGUUUGUCAGUAGUGUGAUGAAGGAGAAGUUGAAAUGAGAGGAAACAGCGUAUUUCUGGGGACUAUUUUCAGCGGCGGAGGAAUCCACAAGUCUGAGCGACGCCCCCUUUUUCUGAGAGUGGCAUUUAAUAAAUCUCCAAUCCUAAAAUAGAAGAACUCUGUCUUCUCCACCCGGACGUCUUGUAUUCCCUCUCACACACACACAGCUCUGAGUAUCUGAACCUGCAGUCCAUUAGUGGGACCCGGGGGGGGGGUGACCUCCAUCAGUCCUUCUCGAUGCGUUCACAAGAAACAGAGUGCAGGUUUUGACAUUUUAUUUGAAUGUAGUCUUCGGAGAAUGUUUCGUUUUUGUUCAUCGCACCAAAGUUGAUUCCAGAGAGCUUAGAAAUGAGGAAGGUGGAGGCUCAGGAGCAAGUUCGGCUUACUCCACCCAAAGACGAACACCUUUGAGCUUGUUAAGCUGCAGGUCAAAGGUCAGCAGCCGGUUGCACCAGCUGAGGUUUGAUUGUACGUCAUCAGUUUAAUAUUAAUACAUUAUUUAAAAUGACAGUAGUACACUGGAUAAUCCACAUUAUUUAGAGUUUAUACAGAGUUUUUUGUU
ensembl:lncRNA